rnacentral:lncRNA from 1 species
GGACACAGAAUCACUUAUCUAUUUCCCAAGACCAAAGAAGACAUUGGACCUUUGUCAAACUCCAACACCUGUUGGGAGAACCUAAGGAAGUUGUUAAGCAAGUGACUGGAGCCCAAUUCCUGCUGCCGCCAAGGAGUCAGGCCUGCUGGCCCUCUCCCCUUUGCCUCUCCUCUUUUACUAUUACAAAGCUGGCCCUUCAAAGCACAGUGCUCUCUGCAAUACAGAAGCCCUCGCUAUCUCUACAGUGGAGAAAAUGUGCGCCACGGGAAAAGGUCAUAGCAUAGAACAAUCUGAAGAGCACUGGUCUGCAUCCCACUUAGAAACCUCCAACUCCAAAUGUCAAUUUUCCUCCUGAGACAGCAUUUCUGGGCUGCUGCCUCCCGCUCCAGAGAGAUGUGCUUCUGGGAAAGUCAACUACACUGUGCAAGAGGUCUGUGAAAUGUGUCGGCACUUCCAUAAAAUAGAUGUAACUGAGGAUCUUCAGUCGGGCCCUCUUCUCCUGCUUAUUCCUUGGCAAAGAAUUUCUAAGAUCCUCCUCUAGCACCCUGGGCACUCAGGAAGUAAAAGCCACCUUUUUCUAGCCACUAGGGAAGAACAAGGGCUGGUGUUUCCCAGUCUGUCCGGAGAGUGACUCUUUACCCAACACAUGGAAGCUACCUGGAUGCUGAGUGAAGAUAAAUAGUGCCGUCUCCUUGGGUCGUUUAAUUCCAAGCAAGGCCCAUAUUGAUUUUGCCUCUCCCU